UCCUAGUUCAGUUGGUGCCCUUUUUCAGCAGGACACUUACUUGAUGGGCUCCACGCUAGCCUUUGUACCUUCGCCUCGUUUUCACGUACGUGUGUGAAUGGCCCGCAGCUUGACACAUGAAUUUCUUCAGCCGGUGGUGGCGCGGCUACGAAAUCUGCUGAGAAAUGACAAAUUGCAUUGUAACAGGAUGAAAGGAACACGGGAGGAGGAGUUCACAAUCUACCACGUUAAAAAAAAAAGCACAAAGGAAACAAUACCUCUCAAGGUUUGGACUGGAUCUGAGGUGACGCUGAGUCUCCCCCCACACAGAGGAGACUUCAUCCCUGGCAUCCUUCAAUCCCCCAGCAUUUGUUCUCCACACGUCACGGGCUGGCACAAGGCCAGGAGCUGGGAAUCCCAAAGUGAGCAAAGAAACACCUAACCUGCCCUCAUGGAGCUUCGAGUUGAAAUUUGCUUCACCUGAAUGUUAAAGAAGUAUGAAAAUCAGCAUAUUUUAUACCACUCCCCCCUUGCUGCUUCUAAAAAUAUCAUACAGCAAUGAUUGAUGAUGAAGUUGUGUAAAGUCCAGAAAUCACAUCCCAUCAUCAUAGAUUCAAUCUCCCCAACAAGGCUGUUAUAGCUUCUCUUUAAGGGGUUCCAAUAGGUAUCGAAAGCUGGUGUAAAGAUCAGUGGAUGGGAAGGAACAUAUCAAUGAAUAAAAU